rnacentral:rRNA from 1 species
GUCGGGAAUUUUGGGCAAUGGGCGAAAGCCUGACCCAGCAACGCCGCGUGAAGGACGAAGUCUUUCGGGAUGUAAACUUCGUAAGAAUAGGAAGAAUAAAUGACGGUACUAUUUGUAAGGUCCGGCUAACUACGUGCCAGCAGCCGCGGUAAUACGUAGGGACCAAGCGUUGUUCGGAUUUACUGGGCGUAAAGGGCGCGUAGGCGGCAAUUCAAGUCAGUUGUGAAAUCUCCGAGCUUAACUCGGAACGGUCAACUGAUACUGUUUUGCUAGAGUACAGAAGGGGCAAUCGGAAUUCUUGGUGUAGCGGUGAAAUGCGUAGAUAUCAAGAGGAACACCUGAGGUGAAGACGGGUUGCUGGGCUGAUACUGACGCUGAGGCGCGAAAGCUAGGGUAGCAAACGGG